rnacentral:misc_RNA from 1 species
ACACUCUUAGUGGCCCUGAAAGUUCGUUAUAGAGAUAGAAUUACAAUUCUUAGAGGAAACCAUGAGAGCAGGCAGAUUACUCAAGUGUAUGGGUUCUACGAUGAAUGCUUGAGAAAAUAUGGAAAUGCCAAUGUAUGGAAGUAUUUCACUGACCUUUUCGAUUAUCUACCUCUAACAGCCCUCAUUGAGAGUCAGGUCUUCUGUUUGCAUGGUGGACUUUCACCAUCUUUGGAUACAUU